AUUGAACGCUGGCGGCAGGCUUAACACAUGCAAGUCGAGCGGAGCGAGGGUGCUUGCACCUUAGCUUAGCGGCGGACGGGUGAGUAAUGCUUAGGAAUCUGCCUAUUAGUGGGGGACAACAUUCCGAAAGGAAUGCUAAUACCGCAUACGCCCUACGGGGGAAAGCAGGGGAUCUUCGGACCUUGCGCUAAUAGAUGAGCCUAAGUCGGAUUAGCUAGUUGGGGGGGUAAAGGCCUACCAAGGCGACGAUCUGUAGCGGGUCUGAGAGGAUGCUCCGCCACACUGGGACUGAGACACGGCCCAGACUCCGACGGGAGGCAGCAGUGGGGGAAAUUGGACAAUGGGCGGAAGCCUGAUCCAGCCAUGCCGCGUGUGUGAAGAAGGCCUUUUGGUUGUAAAGCACUUUAAGCGAGGAGGAGGCUACUUAGAUUAAUACUCUGGGAUAGUGGACGUUACUCGCAGAAUAAGCACCGGCUAACUCUGUGCCAGCCGCCGCCGUAAGAC
rnacentral:rRNA from 1 species